UAAACUUUAAGUUAUAUUAUAAACUAGAAGCCUUCCAAGUUUCCCAAAAGUCUCUUAAGUUUAA
rnacentral:tRNA from 1 species